rnacentral:rRNA from 1 species
UGGGGAAUUUUGCACAAUGGGGGAAACCCUGAUGCAGCGACGCCGCGUGAUUUAGAAGGCCUUCGGGUUGUAAAAAUCUUUUCUAUGGGAAGAAAAUGACAGUACCAUAGGAAUAAGGACCGGCUAAUUACGUGCCAGCAGCCGCGGUAAUACGUAAGGUCCGAGCGUUGUCCGGAAUCAUUGGGCGUAAAGGGUACGUAGGCGGGUAAGCAAGUUGGAAGUGAAAUCCUAUAGCUCAACUAUAGUAAGCUUUUAAAACUGCUCAUCUUGAGGUAUGGAAGGGAAAGUGGAAUUCCUAGUGUAGCGGUGAAAUGCGCAGAUAUUAGGAGGAAUACCGGUGGCGAAGGCGACUUUCUGGCCAUAACCUGACGCUGAGGUACGAAAGCGUGGGUAGCAAACAGG